UACGUAGGUGGCGAGCGUUGUCCGGAUUUACUGGGCGUAAAGGGCUCGUAGGCGGCCAACUAAGUCAGACGUGAAAUCCCCCGAGCUCAACUCGGGAACUGCGUCCGAUACUGGCAGGCUUGAAUCCGGGAGAGGGAUGCGGAAUUCCAGGUGUAGCGGUGAAAUGCGUAGAUAUCUGGAGGAACACCGGUGGCGAAGGCGGCAUCCUGGACCGGCAUUGACGCUGAGGCGCGAAAGCCAGGGGAGCAAACGGG
rnacentral:rRNA from 1 species